rnacentral:misc_RNA from 1 species
GAUGAAGAACGUAGCAAAGUGCGAUAUGUACUGCGCUGUGCGCGAAAUGCGCAGUCAUUCUUCGAAUACACAUUGUCCUGUCUGGCAAACAGCCGGCAGGGCAUCUGCUUCAGGGUUGUUGAUUAUUUUUGCGCAGCUUCGCUCAGCGUUGCACGCGUUCACCGAGGUGUCGCCGCCACGUGCGUCCCCUCCCCAGUGUGUCCCUUUAGCUCAUGCUUCUGUGGAUUUGGGUGUCUAGCAGUCUGGUUCAUUGCUUGCAGUGUUCCGCUUGUUGCUUACCCCAAUUAUUUAUCUACCCGACCUGAAGUCAGGUGUGAGUACCCGCUGAACUUAAGCAUAUCAAUAAGCGGAGGA